CCCUCCUCCAGGAAGCCUACCCUGAUGCCUCCCCGCCUGACCUCCCCAGGCUCAGCUGGCAAUCCUCAGACACUGAUCUGGCUUUGCAGGGGAAUGGGUGUGUUCCUGCCUCAUCGCUCUCCCCAGUCCCUGAAGGCACAGCACCGGCUAUUUGUGCUGGAGGUGAGAACAUGGGCCACAGUCCAAGCAGUAGGAAGCCUGAGUGUGAGUCUGAAUUAACCAGGAGGACGAAAAUCCCAGCUCAGGCAGCAGCUCCCUGUGUGACCUUGGGAAGUCAUUUUACCUCUGUGCCUCUGUGACAGGGAGAUGGUGAACACCUGGGGGUCUGACCCUCAUGAGGAUUUGAAGUGAACUGUACUACCUGCAGCCCAUGGAGCGCACAGCAGGGAGGAGCAGCAGGGAGGGACAGGAAGACAAUGGGGACCUUUCAGAGCGGAGGAGUCAGCAUGAGUCCCGCAGGAGAACAGUAAUCAUAGUGAAAACAACAGCAGCAUCAUUUGCUAGUUCCUGAAAGCGACUGCCUGCCCAGCUUGGCAGAACAUUGCUUCGUUCAGCCUCACAGCAGACCCUACGAGGGAGGCAUCAUGGGCCCAUUUUAUAGACAAGGAAACUGAGGCCAUGCAAAGGAAUUGCUUGCCCAGGGUCACACUGCAAUUAAGCAGAGAAGCCAGCAUUCCAUCCAACACCUGCCAAUUAAGGGGGUCACAGUCCCCAGGAGAAAUAAACUGCCUAAGAAUGACAGGUGACACCGACACUGACUGACAAGGCUACCUUGGCACUUUAUGGGUGUUUGGGGACCCUCACAAGAGCCUUACCAAGUAGGUACUGAUAUGAACCCACUUAAUAGAGGGGAAAACCAAGGCCCCAAGCAAGUCCCCUGUCCACAGCCAUUCAGCCAGCAAAUAGCAGAACUGGGAUUAGAACCAACAGGCAGGGCCCAGAGCCCACGCUCCUGACCUCCACACCAGGUGGCAAGCACAUGACGCAGGCCAUAAGCAGGAGGAAGAGGCAAGGAGGUCAUCAGACACAAGGAGGUCACCUGAGGCAAAGACACGUGCAGCCUGGAGAUGCUGCCUGGGCGACAGGUGGGAUCACAUUGAAGAGGAGAGAAAGAGAACAACUUUCUUCAAGGUGCAGCAUGAGGGGCCGGGCACGGUGGCUCACGCCUGUAAUCCCAGCACAUUGGGAGGCCAAGGCGGGAGGAGUGCUUGAACAGGAUUUCAAGACCAGCCUGGGCAACACAGUGAGACCUCGUCUUUACCAAAAAUAUUAAAACUCCCUGGGCGUGGUGGCGUGCACCUGUAGUCCCAGCUACUGGGGAGGCUGAGAUGCGAGGCUCACUUGAGCCCAGGAAGGAUAAUGCUGCAGUGAAAAGUGAUGGCGCCACUGCACUCCAGCCUGGGUGACACAGCAAGAUUCUGUCUCAAAAAAAUAAAAAAAGAUGCAACGUGCAACAUCAAAGGUGCUCCGUAAGAGCUACCAAAAGACAAAUCACUGGCCCUUGAUCUAGCAAUCCCACUUCCAGGAGUCUAUCCCACAGGCGUACUCAUUUCCCUGUAACAUGUGCGGACGUAUGCCUUCCCAUGCUUCACACAGAAACCUUUGGAAACACCUCCACGUCCAUAACAGUAAAGGAGGAUUCACCCACACAGAGGAAUACCAUGCAGCCAAGAAAAAGAUAGAGGAAGACCUACAUUGGUAGGGUCUCCCAGGGAGAUGAAGCGUGGAAAAAAAGCAAUGCAUAGACCAGACUACCAUCUGUGUAAGAUGAAUAGUUUUUUGUUUGUCUGUUUGUUUGUUUUAGACAGAGUCUCGCUGUGUCGCCCAGGCUGGAGUGGAGUGCAGUGCUACCGCAAUCUCGGCUCACCGCAACCUCCGCCUCCUGCAUUCAAGCAAUUCCCCUGCCUCAGGCUCCUGAGUAGCUGGGAUUACAGCCAUGCACCACCAUGCCCAGCUCAUUUUUGUAUUUUUAGGAGAGAUGGGGUUUCACCAUGUUGGCCAGGCUGGUCUUGAACUCCUGACCGCAGGUGAUCUGCCCACUUCAGCCUCCCAAAGUGCUGGGAUUACAGGCGUGAGCCACCAUGCCCGGCCUGAAUAGUUUUAAACACAUAACAUCCAUAUAUAAAAGUACAUGCACAGAACAUCAGAAUGGAGGUGCUGUCUCUGGGGAAGAGAGCUAGGGGACCAGGGAUUCUGGAGAGGUUAGAGGGAGAGACACCAUCUUUAGUGUUCUGAAUUUGCCCCGUGUGUGUAUCACUUAGAACAAAAGGAACAAAAGGCAGACAGAGAAAAAGAUGAUGUCUCAGACCACCCAGACAGAAUGAAUGAAACCCCACAGCGGCUAAUCCAACCGUUCUCUCUCCUCCUCCUGGACUGUGUCCCAAGGUCUUAACUGAUCCCCAGGGCCCUGUCACACAGUAGGCCCUCAGGAAGUUUAAUUGGGAACAAUUAAAGAAACAAAGGCCUUCUCUGCUUGUGCCAACACUCCUUUCCCCCUCCCCCCAAUGAAUACAUACACUCAUACACAAAACUAAUUGUCACCAAACUAGAAAUGCCUUAGAAAACUCUCCCUCUCCACUGGGGAAACUUGCGUGUCACUG
rnacentral:lncRNA from 1 species